GACCAGAUCAUGUUAAAAGACUGGUUUCCAUAUGAUCACUGAAGUUAAGCAACAUUGAGCCUGGUCAGUACCUAAAUGGAUGACUGCUUGGGAUUACCAGAUGCUGUAAG